rnacentral:rRNA from 1 species
CACGUAGGGCGCAAGCGUUGUCCGGAAUUAUUGGGCGUAAAGAGCUCGUAGGCGGUCUGUUGCGUCCGCUGUGAAAACUCGGGGCUUAACCCCGAGCCUGCAGUGGAUACGGGCAGACUAGAGGUAGGUAGGGGAGAAUGGAAUUCCCGGUGUAGCGGUGAAAUGCGUAGAGAUCCGGAGGAACACCGACGGCGUAGGCAGCGCCCUGGACGACACCUGACGCUGAGGCACGAAAGCUGGGGGAGCGAACAGG